rnacentral:misc_RNA from 1 species
AACGCACAUUGCGCCCCUUGGUAUUCCGAGGGGCAUGCCUGUUCGAGCGUCAUUAUAACCACUCAAGCCUUGGCUUGGUAUUGGGGUUCGCGGUCUCGCGGCCUUUAAAAUCAGUGGCGGUGCCGUCUGGCUCUAAGCGUAGUAAUUCUCUCGCUAUAGGGUCCUGGCGGUUGCUUGCCAAAACCCCCCCAUUUUUUAUGGUUGACCUCGGAUCAGGUAGGGAUACCCGCUGAACUUAA